rnacentral:rRNA from 1 species
CUGGCCUGCCCAGUGAAAGGUUUAACGGCCGCGGUAUUUUGACCGUGCAAAGGUAGCAUAGUCAUUAGUUUUUUAAUHGAAAGCUUGUAUGAAAGGUUUGAUGAAAAAGAGACUGUCUCUAAAAAAUHUUAUUAGAAUHUUAUHHUUAAGHUAAAAAGCUUAAAUHUGGAUGGAAGACGAGAAGACCCUAUAGAGUHUUAUAUUUUGAGAAUAAAAGGAUUUUAGGHHUAUAAAAUHUUUUGUUUAUAGAAGHAUUUAGUUGGGGUGAUUAAAAAAUUUAGUGAACUUUUUUUAAACGAAAACAUUUAUUUGUGAGUAAGUGAUCCUAGUUUAUAGAUUAUAAGAUUAAAUUACCUUAGGGAUAACAGCGUUAUUUUUUCUAGAGUUCUUAUCGAAAGAAAAGAUUGCGACCUCGAUGUUGGAUUAAAAUUAAUUGUUGGUGUAGAAGCUAAUAAAUUAGGUCUGUUCGACCUUUAAAAUUUUACAUGAUCUGAGUUUAAACCGGUGUGAG